CCUACGGGUGGCUGCAGUGGGGAAUAUUGGACAAUGGGCGAAAGCCUGAUCCAGCAAUGCCGCGUGAGUGAUGAAGGCCUUAGGGUUGUAAAGCUCUUUUACCAGGGAUGAUAAUGACAGUACCUGGAGAAUAAGCUCCGGCUAACUCCGUGCCAGCAGCCGCGGUAAUACGGAGGGAGCUAGCGUUGUUCGGAAUUACUGGGCGUAAAGCGUACGUAGGCGGUUAUUCAAGUCAGAGGUGAAAGCCCGGGGCUCAACCCCGGAACUGCCUUUGAAACUAGAUAGCUAGAGUCUUGGAGAGGUUAGUGGAAUUCCGAGUGUAGAGGUGAAAUUCGUAGAUAUUCGGAAGAACACCAGUGGCGAAGGCGACUAACUGGACAAGUACUGACGCUGAGGUACGAAAGCGUGGGGAGCAAACAGGAUUAGAUACCCGUGUAGUC
rnacentral:rRNA from 1 species